rnacentral:sRNA from 1 species
UGUGCAAGAGGUUUCACCAAAAUUCCACAGUAUUCGAGGAGAAAAAGCUAAAGCUACCACUAAAUCGAUAUUUCUACAAAGCUUUUUUAACAAGUGGCAACCAUGAAUUUCGCGGCAACUCACAAAUAAAAUAGUUUCGAAGAAACUCGAUGUCGAGGCUAAUAUCGAUACUAUCAACAAAUUCUUUUUGGAAGACCAUUAAGAUGGCCCUAAAAAGCGGGACGCUGCCGAGUCUUGUGCAGCGGGAGCAGCAGUGCGGCAAACACGGUGAACAACCUGCUUCUGUCUGGUCGAUUUUUAGGUGAAUUAUGGAACCGACCGGCUUGGUUAUGGUCUCUAUUGAAAGGGUCAUCAAAUCUCGGUAAAACCAAGGAAAAAAGAAAGCGAACCCCCCUCGACCCCUGGGUUUGGAGUGUGAGGUGUUGUUCCUGAACAUAUUCUUUAUCAUAUUCAAAAGAGAUCGGAUCCCCCCACGUCCCACCCCGAAUUUCCCAGGCAAAAGAUACUUUCAGCUCAGCGUAAAAAACGAGCGCCUUAGUGCAA